AAUUCCGCGAAUCAUCGAGUUUUUGAACGCAUAUUGCGCCCGAGGUUCACGCCGAGGGCACGUCUGUCUGAGCGUCAAC
rnacentral:rRNA from 2 species